rnacentral:rRNA from 1 species
AUGAACGCUGGCGGCGUGCCUAAUCCAUGCAAGUCGAGCGAACGGACGAGAAGCUUUCUUCUCUGAUGUUAGCGGCGGACGGGUUAGUAACACGUUGAUAACCUACCUAUAAGACUGGGAUAACUUCGGGAAACCGGAGCUAAUACCGGAUAAUAUUUUGAACCGCAUGGUUCAAAAGUGAAAGACGGUCUUGCUGUCACUUAUAGAUGGAUCCUCGCUGCAUUAGCUAGUUGGUAAGGUAACGGCUUACCAAGGCAACGAUGCAUAGCCGACCUGAGAGGGUGAUCGGACAAACGGGAAGUGAGACACGGUCCAGACGCCUACGGGAGGCAGCAGUAGGGAAUAUUCCGCAAUGGGCGAAAGCCUGACGGAGCAACGACGCGUGAGUGAUGAAGGUCUUCGGAUCGUAAAACUCUGUUAUUAGGGAAGAAAAUAUGUGUAAGUAACUGUGCACAUCUUGACGGUAACUAAUCAGAAAGCCACGGCCAACUACGUG